rnacentral:rRNA from 1 species
CGCGGCCUAUCAGCUUGUUGGUGGGGUAACGGCCCACCAAGGCUAUGACGGGUAGCUGGUCUGAGAGGACGAUCAGCCACACUGGGACUGAGACACGGCCCAGACUCCUACGGGAGGCAGCAGCAGGGAAUUUUGCACAAUGGGCGCAAGCCUGAUGCAGCGACGCCGCGUGGGGGAUGAAGACCUUCGGGUCGUAAACCCCUUUCAGGAGGGACGAAGCGAAAGUGACGGUACCUCCAGAAGAAGCCCCGGCCAACUACGUGCCAGCAGCCGCGGUAAUACGUAGGGGGCGAACGUUGUCCGGAUUUAUUGGGCGUAAAGAGCUCGUAGGCGGCUCAGCAAGUCGGCCGUGAAAGCCCGGGGCUCAACCCCGGGACGCCGGUCGAAACUGCUGUGGCUAGGGUCCGGUAGAGGAGAGUGGAACUCCCGGUGUAGCGGUGAAAUGCGCAGAUAUCGGGAGGAACACCAGUAGCGAAGGCGUCUCUCUGGGCCGGUACCGACGCUGAGGAGCGAAAGCUAGGGGAGCAAACAGGAUUAGAUACCCUGGUAAUCCUAGCCGUAAACGUUGGGCACUAGGUGUGGCGGACUCAUUGACGUCUGCCGUGCCGCAGCUAACGCAUUAAGUGCCCCGCCUGGGGAGUACGG